rnacentral:rRNA from 1 species
AUUUGCAACUGUGCGACGUUGAGAGCACGUCGUCCCUUCCGAUCAUGCAAGUUUGGCAACGUUGGGCCUGGUUAGUACUUGGAUCGGAGACGGCUUGGGAGUCCCAUUUGUCAUAAGAU